rnacentral:lncRNA from 1 species
GCCCUAGUAACAGAGAGAGAAAAGUCCAAACCCAUAGCUCUCAACUCUAAUGAAGGCUUAAGAGAAGGCAGUAAUGGUGUCGUCUCAGGUCAUUCUGGGACAGAGGAAUCCAGAAGAUCACUGAGAGAGUUACCUCUCAUCUCACUGAGGAGUGCAAAGACCAAGGAAUUUAGGACUGACGUCCUUCCCAGCCUGAAAUGACACCGUUACACAGCUGGGACUGAUUGAGAUGCCCGAAGAGUGGGAGAGAGGGGGGCUGAGUCACAUGAGCUAAGUGUCCUGAGGCAACUGACUCAACAAAAGAGAAUAAGCCGAGAGAGCUCUAGCUCAAAUAGUUUUAUUCACUAUAUUCUAAAAUACUUAUGCAACAUAUUUGUAUGUUGUCUAAUAUAUA